GAUGAACGCUCGCUACAGGCUUAACACAUGCAAGUCGAGGGGAAACGCCAUCGAAAGCUUGCUUUUGAUGGGCGUCGACCGGCGCACGGGUGAGUAACGCGUAUCCAACCUGCCCACCACUUGGGGAUAACCUUGCGAAAGUAAGACUAAUACCCAAUGACGUCUCUAGAAGACAUCUGAAAGAGAUUAAAGAUUUAUCGGUGAUGGAUGGGGAUGCGUCUGAUUAGCUUGUUGGCGGGGUAACGGCCCACCAAGGCGACGAUCAGUAGGGGUUCUGAGAGGAAGGUCCCCCACAUUGGAACUGAGACACGGUCCAAACUCCUACGGGAGGCAGCAGUGAGGAAUAUUGGUCAAUGGACGAGAGUCUGAACCAGCCAAGUAGCGUGCAGGAUGACGGCCCUAUGGGUUGUAAACUGCUUUUAUAAGGGAAUAAAGUGAGUCUCGUGAGACUUUUUGCAUGUACCUUAUGAAUAAGGACCGGCUAAUUCCGUG
rnacentral:rRNA from 1 species